UAACAAUCAGGUCGCUCAGGUA
rnacentral:siRNA from 1 species